UACGGGGGAUGCAAGCGUUAUCCGGAAUUAUUGGGCGUAAAGCGCCUGUAGGUGGCUUAUUAAGUCCGUUGUUAAAGGUUAGGGCUCAACCCUAAAAAAGCAAUGGAAACUGGUAAGCUUGAGUAUGGCAGGGGUAGAGGGAAUUUCUAGUGUAGCGGUGAAAUGCGUAGAUAUUAGAAAGAACACCGGUGGCGAAAGCGCUCUACUGGACCAUUACUGACACUCAGAGGCGAAAGCUAGGGGAGCAAAAGGGAUUAGAUACCCCUGUAGUCCUAGCCGUAAACGAUGGAUACUAGAUGUUGGAUUAUAUAGACAGUAUCGUAGCUAACGCGUUAAGUAUCCCGCCUGGGGAGUACGCUCGCAAGGGUG
rnacentral:rRNA from 1 species